GGACUACACGGGUAUCUAAUCCCGUUUGCUCCCCUAGCUUUCGCACCUGAGCGUCAGGAACUUCCCAGGACACUGCCUUCGCCUUUGGUGUUCCUCCGGAUAUCUACGCAUUUCACCACUCCACCCGGAAUUCCGUGUCCCUCGUAAGCCCUCAAGUCGGGCAGUCUUCGAAGACCGUUCUCAGUUAAGCCGAGAAGUGUCACUCCAAACUUACCAGACCGCCUGCGUGCGCUUUACGCCCAGUAACUCCGGACAACGCUCGCCCCCUACGUAUUACCGCGGCUGCUGGCAC
rnacentral:rRNA from 1 species